AUUGAACGCUGGCGGCCGGCCUAACACAUGCAAGUCGAGCGGAGCGGCGGACGGGUGAGUAAUGCCUAGGAAUCUGCCUGGUCGUGGGGGAUAACGUCCGGAAACGGGCGCUAAUACCGCAUACUAUCAGAUGAGCCUAGGGCGGCUUAGCGAGUUGGUGGGGUAAAGGCCUACCAAGGCGACGAUCCGUAACUGGGCUGAGAGGAUGAUCAGUCACACUGGAACUGAGAAACGGUCCGGACUCCUACGGGAGGAAGCAGUGGGAAAUAGUGGACAAUGGUCGAAAGCCUGAUCCAGCCAUGCCGCGGGUGUGAAGAGGGCCUUCGGGUUGUAAAGUACUUUCAGCGGGGAGGCGUUACCCGCAGAAGAAGCACCGGCUAACUCCGUGCCAGCAGCCGCGGUAAUUC
rnacentral:rRNA from 1 species